rnacentral:misc_RNA from 1 species
GAUGAAGAACGCAGCGAAAUGCGAUAAGUAAUGUGAAUUGCAGAAUUCAGUGAAUCAUCGAAUCUUUGAACGCACAUUGCGCCCGCCAGUAUUCUGGCGGGCAUGCCUGUUCGAGCGUCAUUUCAACCAUCAAGCCCCAGGCUUGUGUUGGGGACCUGCGGCUGCCGCAGGCCCUGAAAACCAGUGGCGGGCUCGCUGUCACACCGGGCGUAGUAGAUUUUAUCUCGCUCAGGGCGUGCUGCGGGUUCCGGCCGUUAAAAAGCCUUUUUUACCCAAGGUUGACCUCGGAUCAGGUAGGAAGACCCGCUGAACUUAAGCAUAUCAAUAAGCGGAGGGA